UACGGAGGGUGCAAGCGUUAAUCGGAAUUACUGGGCGUAAAGCGUGCGCAGGCGGUUUGUUAAGUCUGCUGUGAAAUCCCCGAGCUCAACUUGGGAAUUGCAGUGGAUACUGGCAGGCUGGAGUAUGGUAGAGGAAGGUGGAAUUCCCGGUGUAGCAGUGAAAUGCGUAGAGAUCGGGAAGAACACCCGUGGCGAAGGCGGCUCUCUGGGACGGUACUGACGCUGAGACGCGAAAGCGUGGGGAGCGAUCAGG
rnacentral:rRNA from 1 species